AUACCCGCUGAACUUAAGCAUAUCAAUAAGCGGAGGAAAAGAAACCAACAGGGAUUGCCCUAGUAACGGCGAGUGAAGCGGCAACAGCUCAAAUUUGAAAUCUGGCCUCGGCCCGAGUUGUAAUUUGCAGAGGAUGCUUCUGGCGCGGUGCCUUCCGAGUUCCCUGGAACGGGACGCCACAGAGGGUGAGAGCCCCGUAUGGUCGGACACCAAGCCUGUGUGAAGCUCCUUCGACGAGUCGAGUAGUUUGGGAAUGCUGCUCUAAAUGGGAGGUAAAUCUCUUCUAAAGCUAAAUACCGGCCAGAGACCGAUAGCGCACAAGUAGAGUGAUCGAAAGAUGAAAAGCACCUUGAAAAGGGGGUUAAAUAGUACGUGAAAUUGUUGAAAGGGAAGCACUUGUGACCAGACUUGGGCCGGGCGGCUCAUCAGGGGUUCUCCCCUGUGCACUCCGCCCGGCACAGGCCAGCAUCGGUUUUCGCGGGGGGAUAAGACCGCCGGGAACGUAGCACCCUCCGGGGUGUGUUAUAGCCCGGCGGACGAUACCCCCGCGGGGACCGAGGUCCGCGCUCCGCAAGGAUGCUGGCGUAAUGGUCACCAGUGACCCGUCUUGAAACACGGACCAAGGAGUCGUCCAUUAGAGCGAGCGUUUGGGUGUAAAACCCGCACGCGUAAUGAAAGUGAACGCAGGUGAGAGCUUCGGCGCAUCAUCGACCGAUCCUGAUGUUCUCGGAAGGAUUUGAGUAAGAGUUUUAACGGACGGACCCGAAAGACAGUGAACUAUGCUUGUAUAGGGUGAAGCCAGAGGAAACUCUGGUGGAGGCUCGCAGCGGUUCUGACGUGCAAAUCGAUCGUCAAAUAUGAGCAUGGGGGCGAAAGACUAAUCGAACUGUCUAGUAGCUGGUUACCGCCGAAGU
rnacentral:rRNA from 1 species